GACGAACGCUGGCGGCGUGCUUAACACAUGCAAGUCGAACGGAAAGGCCCUGCUUUUGUGGGGUGCUCGAGUGGCGAACGGGUGAGUAACACGUGAGUAACCUGCCCUUGACUUUGGGAUAACUUCAGGAAACUGGGGCUAAUACCGGAUAGGAGCUCCUGCUGCAUGGUGGGGGUUGGAAAGUUUCGGCGGUUGGGGAUGGACUCGCGGCUUAUCAGCUUGUUGGUGGGGUAGUGGCUUACCAAGGCUUUGACGGGUAGCCGGCCUGAGAGGGUGACCGGCCACAUUGGGACUGAGAUACGGCCCAGACUCCCACGGGAGGCAGGAGGUGGGAAUAUUGCACAAUGGGCGGAAGCCUGAUGCAGCAACGCCGCGUGCGGGAUGACGGCCUUCGGGUUGUAAACCGCUUUCGCCUGUGACGAAGCGUGAGUGACGGUAAUGGGGAAAGAAGCACCGGCUAACUACGU
rnacentral:rRNA from 1 species